CCACACUUUUUUUACUGGAAACAUGGGAUUCUUUCCCCUACCGGUCAUCUCUACUGCUCUACUUUCUUGUCUUCUCCAUUGCAGAUCUAAGUUCAAGAGGAAGAACAAGGUGUGAUUCUUCACCCUCAUUGAGAAAGCGGUCCAAUCAUCCCAGCGGUGAUUCCGUGUUUCAACAGGUUGAUGAAUUCUGCUGGAAUUGGUUUAGGAAGUCUAGAAACCCGCCUAAACAAUUUGCAAGUUUUGUUAUGUUACGUUGUUUAGUUGUUUGAGAAACUCGUAAUCUGUGAUGACUUUUGUUGAGAUAUUUGUUUAAUAGUAUGGGAUAUUGAACC